CGGCGACGGGUGAGUAACACGUGGGUAACCUACCUAUAAGACUGGGAUAACUCCGGGAAACCGGGGCUAAUACCGGAUAANAUUUGAACCGCAUGGUUCGAUAGUGAAAGACGGUUUCGGCUGUCACUUAUAGAUGGACCCGCGCCGUAUUAGCUAGUUGGUAAGGUAACGGCUUACCAAGGCGACGAUACGUAGCCGACCUGAGAGGGUGAUCGGCCACACUGGAACUGAGACACGGUCCAGACUCCUACGGGAGGCAGCAGCG
rnacentral:rRNA from 1 species